UACGAAGGGGGCUAGCGUUGCUCGGAAUUAUUGGGCGUAAAGGGCGCGUAGGCGGCUUGGCAAGUGGAAGGUGAAAUCCCUCGGCUUAACCGAGGAACUGCCCUCCAAACUGCUUGGCUUGAGACCGGGAGAGGUGAGUGGAAUUCCCAGUGUAGCGGUGAAAUGCGUAGAUAUUGGGAGGAACACCAGUGGCGAAGGCGGCUCACUGGACCGGUACUGACGCUGAUGCGCGAAAGCGUGGGGAGCAAACGGG
rnacentral:rRNA from 1 species